ACCCGGGAAUUGCCCUAACCUGCUCAAGCAAGUGUGCCCCCAUUGAGAGAGACGAAAGUGAGAGCAAAGAAACCCCGAAGGAUUCGAUUCCAGGGAAGCAAAAGCUGUGGACAGGGGAUUGGCCAGUUCGCGAUGCAAAAAGAAGAAUCGUCUUCGAUUCAUAAUGAGUCUACAAACGAUUCUAUCCCUUCCGGUGCUAAUUCCGUUUGGGCCGAUGUAUCGCCUCUUCUCUCCGCCUCCUGCAGU
rnacentral:lncRNA from 1 species